GGAUCCUGGGCUCAGAGGGACACGGCACCGCUCAUCAGGCCACGCUGAGGAAGAUUAGCCCUGAGCUAACAUCUGCUGCCAAUCCUCCUCAUUUUGCUGAGGAAGACUGGCCCUGAGCUCACAUCCGUGCCCAUCUUCCUCUACUUUAUAUGUGGGAUGCCUACCACAGCAUGGCUUGCCAAGCAGUGCCAUGUCUGCACCUGGGAUCUGAACCAGUGAACCCUGGGCCACCGAGAAGCGGAACGUGCACACUUAACUGCUAUGCCACCAGGCCAGCCCCUCCAGAAUCUUUUUAUCUUGCAGAACUGAAAC
rnacentral:lncRNA from 1 species